AGUGGCGGACGGGUGAGUAACGCGUGAGAAUCUGCCUUCAGGAUGGGGACAACAGUUGGAAACGACUGCUAAUACCCGAUGUGCCGAGAGGUGAAAAUUUUUUGCCUGAAGAGGAGCUCGCGUCUGAUUAGCUAGUUGGUGGGGUAAAAGCUUACCAAGGCAACGAUCAGUAGCUGGUCUGAGAGGAUGAGCAGCCACACUGGGACUGAGACACGGCCCAGACUCCUACGGGAGGCAGCAGUGGGGAAUUUUCCGCAAUGGGCGAAAGCCUGACGGAGCAAUACCGCGUGAGGGAGGAAGGCCUUUGGGUUGUAAACCUCUUUUCUCAGGGAAGAAGAUCUGACGGUACCUGAGGAAUAAGCAUCGGCUAACUCCGUGCCAGCAGCCGCGGUAAUACGGAGGAUGCAAGCGUUAUCCGGAAUUAUUGGGCGUAAAGCGUCCGCAGGUGGUUUUUCAAGUCUGCUGUCAAAGACCAGAGCUCAACUCUGGGCCGGCGGUGGAAACUGGGAAACUAGAGUUCGGUAGGGGUAACGGGAAUUCCCAGUGUAGCGGUGAAAUGCGUAGAUAUUGGGAAGAACAUCGGUGGCGAAGGCGCGCUACUGGACCGAAACUGACACUCAGGGACGAAAGCUAGGGGAGCGAAAGGGAUUAGAUACCCC
rnacentral:rRNA from 1 species